UCAUUAAAUCAGUUAUCGUUUAUUUGAUAGUACCUUACUACUUGGAUAACCGUGGUAAUUCUAGAGCUAAUACAUGCUAAAAACCCCAACUUCGGGAGGGGUGUAUUUAUUAGAUAAAAAACCAAUGCCCUUCGGGGCUCCUUGGUGAUUCAUAAUAACUUCUCAGAUCGCAUGGCUUUACGCCGGCGACGGUUCAUUCAAAUUUCUGCCCUAUCAACUUUCGAUGGUAAGGUAGUGGCUUACCAUGGUUUCAACGGGUAACGGGGAAUUAGGGUUCGAUUCCGGAGAGGGGGCCGGAGGAACGGCCACCACAUCCAAGGAAGGCAGCAGGCGCGCAAAUUACACAAUUCCGAUACGGAGAUGUAGUGACAAUAAAUACUGAUACAGGGCUCUUUUGGGUCUUGUAAUUGGAAUGAGUACAAUUUAAACCUCUUAACGAGGAACAAUUGGAGGGCAAGUCUGGUGCCAGCAGCCGCGGUAAUUCCAGCUCCAAUAGCGUAUAUUAAAGUUGUUGCAGUUAAAAAGCUCGUAGUUGAACCUUUGGCCUGGCUGGCAGGUCCGCCUCACCGCGUGCACUUGUCCGGCCGGGCCUUUUCUUCUGGAGAACCGCAUGCCCUUCACUGGGUGUGUUGGGGACCAGGACUUUUACUUUGAAAAAAUUAGAGUGUUCAAAGCAGGCCUUUGCUCGAAUACGUUAGCAUGGAAUAAUAGAAUAGGACGUGCGGUCCUAUUUUGUUGGUUUCUAGGACCGCCGUAAUGAUUAAUAGGGACAGUCGGGGGCAUCAGUAUUCAAUUGUCAGAGGUGAAAUUCUUGGAUUUAUUGAAGACUAACUACUGCGAAAGCAUUUGCCAAGGAUGUUUUCAUUAAUCAGUGAACGAAAGUUAGGGGAUCGAAGACGAUCAGAUACCGUCGUAGUCUUAACCAUAAACUAUGCCGACUAGGGAUCGGGCGGUGUUUCUAUUGUGACCCGCUC
rnacentral:rRNA from 1 species